GUUAGCUCAGCCGGUAGAGCACGUGACUUUUAAUCACGGGGCCAUGGGUUCGAGUCCCAUA
rnacentral:tRNA from 1 species